UACGGGGGGAGCAAGCGUUGUUCGGAUUUACUGGGCGUAAAGGGCGCGUAGGCGGCCACCGCAAGUCGACUGUGAAAUCUCCGGGCUUAACCCGGAAAGGUCAGCCGAUACUGCGGGGCUAGAGUGCAGAAGGGGCAACUGGAAUUCACGGUGUAGCGGUGAAAUGCGUAGAUAUCGAGAGGAACACCUGCGGCGAAGGCGGGUUGCUGGGCUGACACUGACGCUGAUGCGCGAAAGCUAGGGGAGCGAACGGG
rnacentral:rRNA from 1 species